AAAUUUAUAUCGCUCUAUCAACAGCCAGUAGCCAGUGAGAAAAUUAGGGUUCAGUAUCUUUCUCAUUUUCAAUUUUCAAUCAAAGUUCACUCUAGAUUCCAAAUACAAAUUUUGUGAAUACAGUAUCGAUUCAUCUCUGUAUGUGGUUUCAAGAGUGAAUCAAGAAAAUGCCGACGUACAAGGUCAGGGGAAUCGACGUUGAUUUUCCAUAUGAAGCCUAUGAUUCCCAGCUCGUUUACAUGGACAAAGUCAUGCAGUCGCUUCAGGAGGAAAAAAAUGCAUUGUUGGAGAGUCCCACAGGAACUGGAAAAACAUUGUGUCUUUUAUGUGCUACUUUAGCCUGGCGCAAGAGUUUGGGCAGUUUCACUACUGGUUUAAGCUUAAAGACUAGUGAUAAGGGUAAAACUGAAAUUUCAUCGUCACAGUCUGGGGCUUCAGAUUUUCCUGCAAUUAUAUAUGCUUCACGUACCCACAGUCAGAUACGUCAAGUGAUUCAAGAAUUGAAACGGACAUCUUACAGACCUAAGAUGACAGUUCUUGGUUCUCGGGAGCAACUUUGCAUUCAUGAAAAAGUCAAGUUACUUCGCGGAAAAACACAAUCAAAUGCUUGUCGAUUUGCCUGUCGAAGGCGUGCAAAGCCGAAGCAUAAAUGUAACCAUUUCCAAAAUGUUCCUGAGUAUUUGAAGCACAAUCCUAAUCUUGGAGAAGAGCCUGUGGAUAUCGAGGAUUUGGUCAAUAUUGGCAGGACAUCUGGGCCGUGUCCUUAUUAUUUAUCAAAGGAGCUCCACAAGGCUGUUGAUAUAAUAUUUGCUCCAUACAACUAUCUUAUUGAUCGAGGGUAUAGAAGUUCUCUGCAACUUUCUUGGAGCAAUAGUGUACUCAUAUUCGAUGAAGCUCACAACCUGGAGGGAAUAUGUGCUGAUGCAGCCUCCUUUGACCUGCCUUCUUGGCUUCUAACAGCUUGCAUUACUGAGGUCCAAAGUGUUGUUGACCUUUUAAUAGUAAGAAGAAAUAAAUCAAAUGAUAAGUCACUAGAUCCAGAUGAUUUUGCUAUCCUUAAAGCACUUCUUCUAAAACUUGAGAAGCGUAUUGCUGAGGUUCAUAUUGACUCUAAGGAGUUGGGGUUCACCAAACCCGGGCCUUAUAUUUUUGAACUGCUGGCUGAUCUUAAUAUCACACAGAAGACUGCUUCUAAACUUAAAAGUAUAAUCGCUGAAGCUGUAACUCUCCUUGAGGAAGAAAAUCAGGAGAAAUCAACUGGCACCAUCUGCAGAUUAGAUACUAUCAAGGAUAUUCUUGACAUUGUUUUCAAGGAUGGAGGAACUUCUCAUGCUAAAUACUAUCGUGUUCAUGUGAAGGAGGCUGAGGCUUGGGGUGCCAAUGGUUCUAAAGGCCAGGUGUCAAGGACACUCAGUUGGUGGUGCUUUAAUCCAGGAAUAGCUUUGGAAGGAUUUGCCAGGGAAGGGGUUAGAUCAAUUAUAUUGACAUCAGGCACAUUAUCCCCUUUGGACUCUUUCGCUGAGGAACUGAAAUUAGACUUCCCUAUUCGGCUGGAAAAUCCACAUGUAAUAGGCCCAAAUCAGAUAUGGGCUGGAGUUGUAUCGGUUGGUCCUUUAGGGCGUACUUUUAACUCCUCUUACCGCACUCGUGACACGAUGGAGUACAAGCAGGAGCUUGGAAAUGCAAUUGUAAAUUUGGCUCGAAUUGUUCCUGAUGGACUUCUUGUAUUCUUUCCAUCUUAUUACCUUUUGGAGCAAAGCAUAGGGUGCUGGAAAAGCAUGAGUAAUGAAAAUUCAGCAUCAAUAUGGGAGAGAAUUUGCAAACACAAAAAACCGGUUAUAGAGCCUAGGGAAUCUUCACUGUUUGCCUCAUCAAUUAAGGACUACUUAACUAAGCUGAACGACACCACUGCAUCUGGAGCUGUUUUUUUUGCUGUUUGUCGUGGGAAGGUAAGCGAAGGAUUAGAUUUUGCAGAUCAUGCCGGUAGAGCUGUGGUUAUUACUGGUUUGCCAUUUGCCACAAGCAUUGAUCCUAAGGUUCGUCUAAAACGUGAAUACUUGGAUCAACAAUCUGGAGCACAAGGACAGUCGAUCAAGGUUCUAACUGGAGAUGAGUGGUACAACCAACAAGCUUCUCGAGCUGUGAAUCAAGCUGUUGGACGUGUAAUUCGCCAUCGCCAUGACUAUGGAGCAAUUAUUUUUUGUGAUGAAAGGUUUGCACAGCCUCAUCGCCAAUCCCAAUUCUCAAAAUGGAUACAGCCUCACAUCAAGUGUUACUCAAGAUUUGGAGAAGUUGUUUUUACCCUAACUCGCUUUUUUCGAGAUGGACGAACUCAAGGUUCUACAAAGCUGUCACUAUUGGAAGCUGAAAAUGGUGGGAAUCUGGGAAAAAUGCCAUCAUCAGAGCACUUAACGGAAAAAUUUCACAUGGAAAAACUUCUGCAGCCUUUGCCUACACCAAUGACUCCAAAUUGUACUUCGAAAGCCUCAUCUUUGCUUGACACAAAAAAGGGCUACACUUCAUUCAUGGGGGGAAUUCUGCCUGCCAAUCGCUCAUCACUGUCUUCUGACCGUAGGUUGACUGUAGGUUGCGACAGUUCAAGUGAUACCCGCGAGACAAUUUUGCAUAAAAGGAGGACUGUACUGUCACAAGAACCUGAUGGGCUUGAUUUGGGUGAUAGUUGUCAACUGGGUGAAAAAUCAAAGAAUAUGCUAAUAGCACCUUGUUUUACCAAGAAGCGUAGAUUUAUAGCAGGAGAGUAUGACCUAAAGCAACAUUUUGGAAAUUCUAAUGAUCAAUCAUCAUCAGGCAGUCAAAGUGCUCAAGGUGAUAUAAAUCUGCAAUGUAAAGAUAAUGUGACCUCUCAAAGUAGAAACACUGAGUUUCUUAGACAAAAAGACAAUCUUCCUGCUGAUUCAGCACCUUCUACUGCAGAUGGAACCCAAGGAUCAGCAUUCCUUGCUCAGGUCCGAGAUAAACUCAGUGCUGCAGAAUAUAUAGACUUUGUGAGUUAUAUGAAAGCGCUCAAGACCAAAACAUUGAAGAUUAGUGAAGUUUUACUAAGCAUUUCUAGAUUGUUCUCCGGUCCUGAGAGGUUACCUCUCCUUAAAAGGUUCAAGGAUUACAUCCCAGCAAAAUAUCAUUCUUUGUAUGAGCAAUAUGUUGAAGGAAAGGUAGAUUGAAAGUGCCCAACUCAUGACCGUCAUUUGAUAAUUUUUCAGCUAAAACUCAGGUAUACUUUUUGAUAGUGUCACACAAAGCUUAUGUUGUAAAGGGUCAUCUAUAGAUUUUAUUAUUGACCUUGUGACUUGGGUGGACCAGCAGACCUCAUACUUCAAAAUGACUCAAUAUACAACAAGAGAAUCAAGAAUGGUCAUGGAAUUUCUUCGGCCAGGCGUCAAAUCAUUAUGGAACGGAACCGUGCUCCUCUCCAUGUUACCGAGAUUACCUGCCUGUGAUAAUAUAUAGCCAUUUUUUAAGCAAAGUGUUGAGAUACAAUAAAAUGUAUCUCGCAGCAAUGGUAUUUUGGUCAAUAAUCCAUCAAGAUUAUUUAUCUGUAUUUUAUUGUACAUGCUGCCAGACAACAUUGUAAUGCGUAUAAAGAUAAAAUAAUAUUAUAAGUUUUCAAGUUUUUUUCUGUAUUGUUACUUCAAGUUAUUCUAUUCGUUUGAUAACCAAAGCAUGGAAUGCAGACAAUAUGUUGAAGCAAGUAUCUCACAAGACGUAACCUUGGCAGAGAAUAAAAACAAGAGGUAGUGGAAGUAGAACAUUUCCACAAGCGACUCGUCAAAUGGGCGUACAAGUAAAACUAACGAAUUAUUAAGACGUCAAUGAUGUACGAUCGUGCAAAGAGAAUAAGUGAUCUUAAAUUAGGGAAUUUUUGGAGUAGAUUAUGAAUCGUGAGCAAAUAAAUCAAUAUCCAAAGGAGAGAUCCUUGGGUCAAAGUGUGGAGGGAGGAUUGAGUGUUACU